GAACGCUGGCGGCGUGCUUAACACAUGCAAGUCGAACGGAAAGGCCCUGCUUUUGUGGGGUGCUCGAGUGGCGAACGGGUGAGUAACACGUGAGUAACCUGCCCCUGACUUUGGGAUAACUUCAGGAAACUGGGGCUAGUACCGGAUAGGAGCUCCUGCUGCAUGGUGGGGGUUGGAAAGUUUCGGCGGUUGGGGAUGGACUCGCGGCUUAUCAGCUUGUUGGUGGGGUAGUGGCUUACCAAGGCUUUGACGGGUAGCCAGCCUGAGAGGGUGACCGGCCACAUUGGGACUGAGAUACGGCCCAGACUCCUACGGGAGGCAGCAGUGGGGAAUAUUGCACAAUGGGCGGAAGCCUGAUGCAGCAACGCCGCGUGCGGGAUGACGGCCUUCGGGUUGUAAACCGCUUUCGCCUGUGACGAAGCGUGAGUGACGGUAAUGGGUAAAGAAGCACCGGCUAACUACGUGCCAGCAGCCGCGGUGAUACGUAGGGUGCGAGCGUUGUCCGGAUUUAUUGGGCGUAAAGGGCUCGUAGGUGGUUGAUCGCGUCGGAAGUGUAAUCUUGGGGCUUAACCCUGAGCGUGCUUUCGAUACGGGUUGACUUGAGGAAGGUAGGGGAGAAUGGAAUUCCUGGUGGAGCGGUGGAAUGCGCAGAUAUCAGGAGGAACACCAGUGGCGAAGGCGGUUCUCUAGGCCUUUCCUGACGCUGAGGAGCGAAAGCGUGGGGAGCGAACAGGCUUAGAUACCCUGGUAGUCCACGCUGUAAACGGUGGGUACUAGGUGUGGGGUCCAUUCCACGGGUUCCGUGCCGUAGCUAACGCUUUAAGUACCCCGCCUGGGGAGUACGGCCGCAAGGCUA
rnacentral:rRNA from 1 species